rnacentral:misc_RNA from 1 species
UUUGUUUUUACCGCUACUGUGCUUACAUAACAAUUGUGAUCAUAUCUUCUGUUUGUCUUUGAUUGAUUAGUGGAAUCUGAAAUUUUCUUUUCUUUUUCUUGAACUUUUCCCCCUUCUUGUCAGUGUUCUGAUAUUGUUGAUAUAUAACAUGUACAUUUCACCUUAAUAUUGGACAUAGAAAGAGGCAUCCCCAGUGUUUGGCAUACAUACAUAUAAUUGUUGAGACAUAAAUAAAUGUUAAAAGCAAAGGGAAACCAGACAGGGAAAUUAAAUCUCAUAAAAGGUUUUCGGUUUUCCAUUUUGCCACAAAGUACAUUAAUUUUGAUAUGUAUUUCUUUAAGUUCUCUCAAUAUAAUUUGCAGUUGAGCUAGUGAUUCCUCUAGGAGAAAUAACUUCCUUGAAGUAAUAGACUGCUGUAUAAAAUUAGUAAUUUAGCAGUGCUUUGCUUAGAACUACAAGUUGAUAUUAACUUGUGUAAGGUUCUUUUUCCUUAUCAUGUACGCAUCACUCCUAACAAUCAUACUCUGAAGUUUUUGUAUCCAAUCUAAGGUGUUAACUAAAAAUAAAAUUGGAAAAAAAAAAGGAAAAGAAAACUGGUCCAAGUUGAGGAUCAAUGCCAUAAAAUAACAGAAACCAAUUUGGAGCAAAGUUUUAGUUGAUUUCAUCUGUUGUAAUAAGAUGCACGCAACAUUUUACAAACAUUAUAUCAAACUGAAGCAAUGCAUGCUGAAGAACACUUUUUACUUAAAUUUUUCUUUUCCUCUUCUUCUUCCUUUAUUUUUUUGGAAGAGCCGAUGGGGGUGGUUCUGUAGCAAAAGCAUGUUUCAUAAACAUAGUUCCUGUUUAACUUUAGGUGUUCAUUUUAUAUUGGCGCUUUGUUUUCUUUAUGCUUUUCACUUGAACAAUUAACUAUCUAUGUAACUUGUGCAGGUUAAAAAUCUGUUAUCAGUUGAUCCAAAAGGUGCAGUUCCUCUAAGAAAAAUGAUCAUUAGGAAAAUUCCUCGGGUUUCAGAAGACAUGCCUCUAUACGACAUUCUGAACGAAUUUCAGA